rnacentral:rRNA from 1 species
GAUGAACGCUAGCUACAGGCUUAACACAUGCAAGUCGAGGGGCAGCAUGGUCUUAGCUUGCUAAGGCCGAUGGCGACCGGCGCACGGGUGAGUAACACGUAUCCAACCUGCCGUCUACUCUUGGACAGCCUUCUGAAAGGAAGAUUAAUACAAGAUGGCAUCAUGAGUCCGCAUGUUCACAUGAUUAAAGGUAUUCCGGUAGACGAUGGGGAUGCGUUCCAUUACAUAGUAGGCGGGGUAACGGCCCACCUAGUCUUCGAUGGAUAGGGGUUCUGAGAGGAAGGUCCCCCACAUUGGAACUGAGACACGGUCCAAACUCCUACGGGAGGCAGCAGUGAGGAAUAUUGGUCAAUGGGCGAGAGCCUGAACCAGCCAAGUAGCGUGAAGGAUGACUGCCCUAUGGGUUGUAAACUUCUUUUAUAAAGGAAUAAAGUCGGGUAUGCAUACCCGUUUGCAUGUACUUUAUGAAUAAGGAUCGGCUAACUCCGUGCCAGCAGCCGCGGUAAUACGGAGGAUCCGAGCGUUAUCCGGAUUUAUUGGGUUUAAAGGGAGCGUAGAUGGAUGUUUAAGUCAGUUGUGAAAGUUUGCGGCUCAACCGUAAAAUUGCAGUUGAUACUGGAUAUCUUGAGUGCAGUUGAGGCAGGCGGAAUUCGUGGUGUAGCGGUGAAAUGCUUAGAUAUCACGAAGAACUCCGAUUGCGAAGGCAGCCUGCUAAGCUGCAACUGACAUUGAGGCUCGAAAGUGUGGGUAUCAAACAGGAUUAGAUACCCUGGUAGUCCACACGGUAAACGAUGAAUACUCGCUGUUUGCGAUAUACAGCAAGCGGCCAAGCGAAAGCGUUAAGUAUUCCACCUGGGGAGUACGCCGGCAACGGUGAAACUCAAAGGAAUUGACGGGGGCCCGCACAAGCGGAGGAACAUGUGGUUUAAUUAGAUGAUACGCGAGGAACCUUACCCGGGCUUAAAUUGCAGAUGAAUUACGGUGAAAGCCGUAAGCCGCAAGGCAUCUGUGAAGGUGCUGCAUGGUUGUCGUCAGCUCGUGCCGUGAGGUGUCGGCUUAAGUGCCAUAACGAGCGCAACCCUUGUUGUCAGUUACUAACAGGUUCCGCUGAGGACUCUGACAAGACUGCCAUCGUAAGAUGUGAGGAAGGUGGGGAUGACGUCAAAUCAGCACGGCCCUUACGUCCGGGGCUACACACGUGUUACAAUGGGGGGUACAGAGGGCCGGUACCACGCGAGUGGAUGCCAAUCCCCAAAACCUCUCUCAGUUCGGACUGGAGUCUGCAACCCGACUCCACGAAGCUGGAUUCGCUAGUAAUCGCGCAUCAGCCACGGCGCGGUGAAUACGUUCCCGGGCCUUGUACACACCGCCCGUCAAGCCAUGGGAGCCGGGGGUACCUGAAGUGCGUAACCGCGAGGAG